rnacentral:rRNA from 1 species
GUUGGUGAACCUGCGGAAGGAUCAUUACCUAGAGUUUGUGGACUUCGGUCUGCUACCUCUUACCCAUGUCUUUUGAGUACCUUCGUUUCCUCGGCGGGUCCGCCCGCCGGUUGGACAACAUUCAAACCCUUUGCAGUUGCAAUCAGCGUCUGAAAAAACUUAAUAGUUACAACUUUCAACAACGGAUCUCUUGGUUCUGGCAUCGAUGAAGAACGCAGCGAAAUGCGAUAAGUAGUGUGAAUUGCAGAAUUCAGUGAAUCAUCGAAACUUUGAACGCACAUUGCGCCCCUUGGUAUUCCAUGGGGCAUGCCUGUUCGAGCGUCAUUUGUACCUUCAAGCUCUGCUUGGUGUUGGGUGUUUUGUCUCGCCUCCGCGCGCAGACUCGCCUUAAAACAAUUGGCAGCCGGCGUAUUGAUUUCGGAGCGCAGUACAUCUCGCGCUUUGCACUCAUAACGACGACGUCCAAAAGUACAUUUUUACACUCUUGACCUCGGAUCAGGUAGGGAUACCCGCUGAACUUAAGCA